rnacentral:rRNA from 1 species
CGAGCGAAAAGGGAAAAGCCCAGCGCCGAAUCUCUUGUCCCUCGGGCGAGAAGACAUGUGGCGUUUGGGACGAGGCUUUGCCUGUGCAGAAUGGUCAUCUAAGUCCCUCUUGAACGGGGCCAUAGCCCAUGGAGGGUGCUAGGCCCGUAUGAUGACUUUAUUGUGCAGUGCGUCUCGUCCGUAGAGUCGGGUUGCUUGGGAGUGCAGCCCAAAUCAGGUGGUAAACUCCAUCUAAGGCUAAAUAUGACCACGAGACCGAUAGCGAACAAGUACCGUGAGGGAAAGUUGAAAAGAACUUUGAAGAGAGAGUUAAAAAGUACGUGAAACCUCUCGGGGGUAAGCGGGCAGAACUUGCAAGUAUUGGCUGGGAACAUUCAGGCUUAGUGUUGGUGGCUUGUGGUGCACGUUUUGUUGCUCUUUCGGGAGUUGGCUGGCGUGUGCUGUUUGGUCUGCUGACGAUGCGCCGCAUUUGUUCCUGUCAUCGGGUUGCAUGCGACUAAUUUUUGGCAGUUUAGGUGCUGGGUUCCUGCAAAUCCUUGUGGUUUGAGUCCUGGUCUCCAACUGCUGUUGUGGUCGUUAAAAAUCACGAGCAGGCGUUUAUCGCGGUCAACGGGUUUCGCGAGUUGGGUGCUUAUGAUAUGUGGACGGGUAACCGUAGCAUGUUGUCUGUACCUGCUGUCAGCGAGAUUUGUUUGGCACUGUUCUUAGAUUGCAAUCUAAAGCAUGCGUGGUCUGCCUGUCCCGUCUUGAAACACGGACCAAGGAGUCUAACAUGUGCGCGAGUCAUUGGGAAUGAAAACCCAAAGGCAUAAUGAAAGUGAAGAUUCGAUUGCGAAUUUGAGGAGAGAUUCUGGCCCUUGCGUGGCAUUCCGAAAGGUUUGUUGCGUGGGGUCGGGGCAUCUCCGGGACGUCUAUACCUCUGAAGGUGGGGCGUACCAAGAGCGUACACGUUGGGACCCGAAAGAUGGUGAACUAUGCCUGGUCAGAACGAAGUCAGGGGAAACCCUGAUGGAGGUUCGUAGCGAUUCUGACGUGCAAAUCGAUCGUCGGAACUGGGUAUAGGGGCGAAAGACUAAUCGAACCAUCUAGUAGCUGGUUCCCUCCGAAGUUUCCCUCAGGAUAGCUGGCGCUUUUUGUAACCAGUCUCAUCCGGUAAAGCGAAUGAUUAGAGGCCUUGGGGCCGAAACGACCUCAACCUAUUCUCAAACUUUAAAUGGGUGAGAAGUCAGG